UGGAAAUGAUGAAUUACCAUCUGAUCAGUGUGAUGAUUUUUAAAAAAAAUUCCUCAGAUAGUCAAGUACUGAUCCAG